GGGUUGUCGGAAGAAGUGUUCAUUUCUGGCAACAAUAUCCUGCUGCUGUCUGAGUAUGUGGAAAAGCUCCAGCAUCAGUGAUUUUGUUGCUGGUGGUGAAUCAAAGCAGCUAAACGUUUU
rnacentral:pre_miRNA from 17 species